rnacentral:rRNA from 1 species
UACGUAGGUGGCGAGCGUUGUCCGGAAUUACUGGGUGUAAAGCGCGUGUAGGCGGGAGGCCAAGUCUGCGGUGAAAUCGCUCGGCUCAACUGGGCGGGGUCCGUGGAAACUGGUCACCUGGAGGACGGUAGAGGCGAGUGGAAUUCUCGGUGUAGUGGUGAAAUGCGUAGAGAUCGGGAGGAACACCAGUGGCGAAGGCGCUCGCUGGGCCGGACCUGACGCUGAGACGCGAAGGCGUGGGGAGCGAACGGG